GCCGAGGUGGCGGAACGGCAGACGCGAGGGGCUUAAAACCCUUUCCCUGGCAACGGGGGUGUGGGUUCGAUUCCCACCCUCGGCA
rnacentral:tRNA from 1 species